GUGGCGAGCGUUUGAAGGUGGCGAGCGUUUGAAGGUGGCGAGCGUUUGAAGGUGGCGAGCGUUUGAAGGUGGCGAGAUGGAAAAGCUUUUUUUUAAAAA